rnacentral:rRNA from 1 species
UACGAAGGGGCUAGCGUUGUUCGGAAUUACUGGGCGUAAAGGGCGCGUAGGCGGUGUGUCAAGUCAGGCGUGAAAGCCCCGGGCUCAACCUGGGAACCGCGCUUGAGACUGGCACGCUCGAGUUCGGGAGAGGAUGGUGGAAUUCCCAGUGUAGAGGUGAAAUUCGUAGAUAUUCGCAAGAACACCAGUGGCGAAGGCGGCUCACUGGCCCGGUACUGACGCUGAGGUGCGAAAGCGUGGGGAGCAAACAGG